GACGAACGCUGGCGGCGUGCCUAACACAUGCAAGUCGAACGAGGUCCAUCCUUCGGGAGAAGACCUAGUGGCGAACGGGUGAGUAACACGUGAGGAACCUGCCCCGAAGACCGGGCUAACCCUCCGAAAGGAGAGCUAAUACCGGAUGUCACCACCGGCCCGCAUGGUCUGAUGGGGAUAGGGAUUCCGCUUCGGGCGGGCCUCGCGGCAUAUCAGCUUGUUGGCGGGGUAACGGCCCACCAAGGCAUCGACGGGUAGUUGGUCUGAGAGGACGAUGAGCCACACUGGGACUGAGACACGGCCCAGACUCCUACGGGAGGCAGCAGUGGGUAAUUUUGCGCAAUGGGCGAAAGCCUGACGCAGCAACGCCGCGUGGGGGAUGAAGGCUCUCAGGUUGUAAACCCCUUUCAGCAGGGACGAAUCAAGACGGUACCUGCAGAAGAAGCCCCGGCUAACUACGUGCCAGCCGCCGCCGUAAAAC
rnacentral:rRNA from 1 species